rnacentral:rRNA from 1 species
UGAGGAAUAUUGGACAAUGGGCGCAAGCCUGAUCCAGCCAUGCCGCGUGCAGGAAGAAGCAUCUAUGGUGUGUAAACUGCUUUUGUACGGGAAGAAACACUCCUCCGUGAAGGAGCUUGACGGUACCGUAAGAAUAAGGAUCGGCUAACUCCGUGCCAGCAGCCGCGGUAAUACGGAGGAUCCAAGCGCUAUCCGGAAUCAUUGGGCUCAAAGGGUCCGUAGGCGGUUUAGUAAGUCAGUGGUGAAAGCCCAUCGCUCAACGAUGGAACGGCCAUUGAUACUGCUAGACUUGAAUUAUUAGGAAGUGACUAGAAUAUGUAGUGUGGCGGUGAAAUGCUUAGAUAUUACAUGGAAUACCGAGUGCGAAGGCAGGUUACUACUAAUGGAUUGACGCUGAUGGACGAGAGCGUGGGGAGCGAACA